rnacentral:rRNA from 1 species
UACGUAGGUCCCGAGCGUUGUCCGGAUUUAUUGGGCGUAAAGCGAGCGCAGGUGGUUAAUUAAGUCUGGUGUAAAAGGCAGUGGCUCAACCAUUGUAUGCAUUGGAAACUGGUAGACUUGAGUGCAGGAGAGGAGAGUGGAAUUCCAUGUGUAGCGGUGAGAUGCGUAGGUAUAUGGAGGAACACCGGUGGCGAAAGCGGCUCUCUGGCCUGUAACUGACACUGAGGCUCGAAAGCGUGGGGAGCAAACAGG